rnacentral:misc_RNA from 1 species
UGGAUGUGGUGAUGCAGCGG